CCUACGGGUGGCAGCAGUGGGGAAUAUUGGACAAUGGGCGAAAGCCUGAUCCAGCCAUGCCGCGUGUGUGAAGAAGGCCUUCGGGUUGUAAAGCACUUUCAGUGGGGAAGAAAGCCUUGGGGCUAAUACCCUCGAGGAAGGACAUCACCCACAGAAGAAGCACCGGCUAACUCCGUGCCAGCAGCCGCGGUAAUACGGAGGGUGCGAGCGUUAAUCGGAAUUACUGGGCGUAAAGCGCGCGUAGGCGGUCUGAUAAGCCGGUUGGGAAAGCCCCGGGCUCAACCUGGGAACGGCAUCCGGAACUGUCAGGCUAGAGUGCAGGAGAGGAAGGUAGAAUUCCCGGUGUAGCGGGGAAAUGCGUAGAGAUCGGGAGGAAUACCAGUGGCGAAGGCGGCCUUCUGGACUGACACUGACGCUGAGGUGCGAAAGCGUGGGUAGCAAACAGGAUUAGAUACCCGUGUAGUC
rnacentral:rRNA from 1 species